AUUGAACGCUGGCGGCAGGCCUAACACAUGCAAGUCGAACGGUAACAGGAAGCAGCUUGCUGCUUUGCUGACGAGUGGCGGACGGGUGAGUAAUGUCUGGGAAACCGCCUGAUGGAGGGGGAUAACUACUGGAAACGGUAGCUAAUACCGCAUAACGUCGCAAGACCAAAGAGGGGGACCUUCGGGCCUCUUGCCAUCGGAUGUGCCCAGAUGGGAUUAGCUAGUAGGUGGGGUAACGGCUCACCUAGGCGACGAUCCCUAGCUGGUCUGAGAGGAUGACCAGCCACACUGGAACUGAGACACGGUCCAGACUCCUACGGGAGGCAGCAGUGGGGAAUAUUGCACAAUGGGCGCAAGCCUGAUGCAGCCAUGCCGCGUGUAUGAAGAAGGCCUUCGGGUUGUAAAGUACUUUCAGCGGGGAGGAAGGGAGUAAAGUUAAUACCUUUGCUCAUUGACGUUACCCGCAGAAGAAGCACCGGCUAACUCCGUG
rnacentral:rRNA from 1 species